rnacentral:rRNA from 1 species
GAUGAACGCUAGCUACAGGCUUAACACAUGCAAGUCGCGUGGCAGCAUGGGGGUUGCUUGCCAUCCCCGAUGGCGACCGGCGCACGGGUGAGUAACGCGUAUUCAACCUGCCCUUCACCACGGGAUAACCCGGCGAAAGUCGGACUAAUACCGUAUGUUGUCCAUUGACGGCAUCCGAUUUGGACGAAAGGCUUGGCGGUGAGGGAUGGGGAUGCGUCCGAUUAGCCAGACGGCGGGGUAACGGCCCACCGUGGCUACGAUCGGUAGGGGUUCUGAGAGGAAGGUCCCCCACACUGGAACUGAGACACGGUCCAGACUCCUACGGGAGGCAGCAGUGAGGAAUAUUGGUCAAUGGGCGUAAGCCUGAACCAGCCAAGUAGCGUGCAGGAUGACGGCCCUAUGGGUUGUAAACUGCUUUUAUGCGGGGAUAAAGUGGCCCACGUGUGGGCUUUUGCAGGUACCGCAUGAAUAAGGACCGGCUAAUUCCGUG